rnacentral:rRNA from 1 species
UUGUGGUUAAAAAGCUCGUAGUUGGAUCUCAACAGCCUUGAAGCGGUUAACUUUGUAGUUUUACUGCUUUAUAGGCUGUGCUUUUGCUGGAGGUUUAGGGGUGCUCUUGAUCGAGUGUCUCUGGAUGCCAGCAGGUUUACUUUGAAAAAAUUAGAGUGCUCAAAGCAGGCUAAAAUGCCUGAAUAUUCGUGCAUGGAAUAAUAGAAUAGGAUGUCGAUCCUAUUCUGUUGGUUUUCGGGACUCGACAUAAUGAUAAAUAGGGACAGUCGGGGGCAUUUGUAUUCAAACGACAGAGGUGAAAUUCUUGGACCGUUUGAAGACAGACUACUGCGAAAGCAUUUGCCAAGAAUGUUUUCAUUAAUCAAGAACGAAAGUUAGAGGUUCGAAGGCGAUUAGAUACCGCCCUAGUUCUAACCAUAAACGAUGCCAGCUAGCGAUCUGCCUGCGUUUUUACUGUAGACUGGGCAGGAAGCUUCCGGGAAACCAAAGCAUUUGGGUUCCAGGGGAAGUAUGGUUGCAAAGCUGAAACUUAAAGGAAUUGACGGAAGGGCACCACCAGGAGUGGAGCCUGUGGCUUAAUUUGACUCAACACGGGAAAUCUCACCAGGCCCGGACACUGGAAG